rnacentral:rRNA from 1 species
CAAUAGCGUAUAUUUAAGUUGUUGCAGUUAAAAAGCUCGUAGUCGGAUUUUGGCUGAGAACGAUCGGUCCGCCGUUAGGUGUGCACUGAUUGGUCUCAGCUUCCUGGUGAGGAGGUGUGCUUCACGGCCACUUAGUCACCGUGGUUACUUUGAAAAAAUUAGAGUGUUCAAAGCGGGCUUACGCUUGAAUAUAUUAGCAUGGAAUAACACCAUAGGACUCCUGUCCUAUUUCGUUGGUCUCGGGACGGGAGUAAUGAUUAAGAGGAACAGUUGGGGGCAUUCGUAUUUCAUUGUCAGAGGUGAAAUUCUUGGAUUUAUGAAAGACGAGCUUCUGCGAAAGCAUUUGCCAAGGAUGUUUUCAUUAA